ACUGUGUCGUGCGUGUAAUGAUUCGUCCAGUAUGUGCGUGUGUGUGUGCAUGCCCCGUACGCGCGCCCUGCUGGUGGCGCUCGCUCUUUUUCUCGCCUCCUCUCCCCGGUCGCUUACAUUUCUUUGUUUGGUUCUUCACUUCCGACCGGUGCACCGGCCCUCGUCUGUAUAUCAGCAGUCGAAUGCCGAGGUCAUGCUGAAUGCCCUUUUCCUCCACUUCUUUUUCUGGAGACCAGCCGUGUGUCUCGGUCGGUGUGUGUAGGCCUCUUUUCUCUCCCCUUACUGUAAUGUGUACCUGAAAAAUACCCCUCUCCCGUCGUUUCUCGGCAAAGAGGAGACAAGGGGAAAAGAAAGGAAAGCAGACGGUGCUGUUGAGAGUUUCUGGAGUUGCCCUGAUGCGUGGAGGCGCUGUCGUUUAGCGGCGGGGGGUACAGAGAGCCGGCUGGUGCUUUGUUUUGUGCGUAUGGGCGCCUGCGGACCAUCUACGCUUGUGUGACUUUGCCUCUUUCGAGGCGUGCCGUCACCCUGAUCGACUCUGCUCUCAUUCACACAGGAGUAUCACAAGAGUUGGAAUCAGCUACAGAGAUUCGACUCCAUCACAAUUUUUUUUCCCUUUACCCCGUAUUUCUACGCAAUAGUUGCCGGAUCAUUUUUUCUCUUCUACGAGAUGUGUGCGGGGUACGGCCAGCUUUUCCUUUUCUGAUCUUCCAUGACGGAUCUUUCCGUUGUUGCUGCCUCUGUACACAUUUGGCGCCUUCCUCCCACUCGUGGAGGUCUGACUCGGAACGAUGACGCGCUAGCAGGGACUGGAAAUCACUUUAGAGGUCGUGACAAUGGGUGGCGUGUUUUCUGGUCUCGCCGCGCACGUCGGUAGUGGUCGACGGUUGCUUGCAUCGCUUUGGCGGCGCUUCCUUUACAAGAUCACUCUGAUCCUCCUCGGGCACCGCAGGUGCUCCGCAUAUCGUGAACCCUUCACCGGUGCGUAGGAGGACGUCGCAAAUCCGUUACCGGAGACACCCUUUGCUCCGAGUCUCUUUUUUUCUCUUGCGUGCUCUCUUUUGUGCCUUUGGCGCUGUACUGACGACUUUCGAUUGUCUCUAGUACAGAAGCGUUUGUGUUCCGGCUCCCCAUUUCCUUCUCGACUACACGUAUCGAGAGGUGUAGAACAGGACGCGUAUCGGUCGAUGGCGCAACAACAAACCAUCAGGAAUUGCUUCUUGGACCGUACAGUUUCCUCGGUUCCAGACACACAGCUCCCACUCAUGCGCGACUGCGGCGGUCGCUUUUACUUCAUUUCAGCACC
rnacentral:misc_RNA from 1 species